rnacentral:rRNA from 1 species
GACGAACGCUGGCGGCGUGCUUAACACAUGCAAGUCGAACGGAAAGGCCCUGCUUGCAGGGUACUCGAGUGGCGAACGGGUGAGUAACACGUGGGUGAUCUGCCCUGCACUUCGGGAUAAGCCUGGGAAACUGGGUCUAAUACCGGAUAGGAGCCAUUUUUAGUGUGAUGGUUGGAAAGUUUUUUCGGUGUAGGAUGAGCUCGCGGCCUAUCAGCUUGUUGGUGGGGUAAUGGCCUACCAAGGCGGCGACGGGUAGCCGGCCUGAGAGGGUGGACGGCCACAGUGGGACUGAGAUACGGCCCAGACGCCUACGGGAGGCAGCAGGGGGGAAUAUUGCACAAGGGGCGCAAGCCUGAUGCAGCGACGCCGCGUGGGGGAUGACGGCCUUCGGGUUGUAAACUCCUUUCGCUAGGGACGAAGCUUUUUGUGACGGUACCUAGAGAAGAAGCACCGGCUAACUACGUG